rnacentral:rRNA from 1 species
UACGUAGGGGGCGAGCGUUGUCCGGAAUCAUUGGGCGUAAAGCGCGUGUAGGCGGCCCGGUAAGUCCGCUGUGAAAGUCCAGGGCUCAACCCUGGGAUGCCGGUGGAUACUGUCGGGCUCGAGUCCGGAAGAGGCGAGUGGAAUUCCUGGUGUAGCGGUGAAAUGCGCAGAUAUCAAGGAGGAACACCAAUGGCGAAGGCAGCAUCGCUGGGACGUGACUGACGCUGAGACGCGAAAGCGUGGGGAGCAAACAGG